GCCAGGUGCAGUGGUGUGUGCCUAUAGUCCUACCUACUCCGGAGGCUGAGGCUGGAGGAUCUCUUGAGUCCAGGAGUUCUGGGCGGUAGUGCGUUAUGCCAAUCGGGUGUCCCCACUAAGUUUGGCAUCAAUAUGGUGACCUCCCUGAAGCGGGGGACCACCAGGUUGCCUAAGGAGGGGUGAACUGGCCCAGGUUGGAAAUGGAGCAAGUCAAAACUCCUGUGCUGAUCAGUAGUGGGAUCAAGCCUGUGAAUAGCCACUGCACUCCAGCCUAGGCAACAUAGCAAGGCCCCGUCUCU
rnacentral:SRP_RNA from 1 species